UUAAGCGACUAAGCGUACACGGUGGAUGCCCUGGCAGUCAGAGGCGAUGAAGGACGUGCUAAUCUGCGAAAAGCGUCGGUAAGGUGAUAUGAACCGUUAUAACCGGCGAUGUCCGAAUGGGGAAACCCAGUGCAAUUCGUUGCACUAUCGUUAACUGAAUACAUAGGUUAACGAGGCGAACCGGGGGAACUGAAACAUCUAAGUACCCCGAGGAAAAGAAAUCAACCGAGAUUCCCCCAGUAGCGGCGAGCGAACGGGGAGCAGCCCAGAGUCUGAAUCAGCUUGUGUGUUAGUGGAACGGUCUGGAAAGUCCGACGGUACAGGGUGAUAGUCCCGUACACCAAAAUGCACAGGCUGUGAACUCGAAGAGUAGGGCGGGACACGUGGUAUCCUGUCUGAAUAUGGGGGGACCAUCCUCCAAGGCUAAAUACUCCUGACUGACCGAUAGUGAACCAGUACCGUGAGGGAAAGGCGAAAAGAACCCCGGCGAGGGGAGUGAAAAAGAACCUGAAACCGUGUACGUACAAGCAGUGGGAGCACCUUCGGGUGUGACUGCGUACCUUUUGUAUAAUGGGUCAGCGACUUAUAUUCUGUAGCAAGGUUAACCGUAUAGGGGAGCCGCAGGGAAACCGAGUCUUAACUGGGCGUUAAGUUGCAGGGUAUAGACCCGAAACCCGGUGAUCUAGCCAUGGGCAGGUUGAAGGUUGGGUAACACUAACUGGAGGACCGAACCGACUAAUGUUGAAAAAUUAGCGGAUGACUUGUGGCUGGGGGUGAAAGGCCAAUCAAACCGGGAGAUAGCUGGUUCUCCCCGAAAGCUAUUUAGGUAGCGCCUCGUGAACUCAUCUUCGGGGGUAGAGCACUGUUUCGGCUAGGGGGUCAUCCCGACUUACCAACCCGAUGCAAACUACGAAUACCGAAGAAUGUUAUCACGGGAGACACACGGCGGGUGCUAACGUCCGUCGUGAAGAGGGAAACAACCCAGACCGCCAGCUAAGGUCCCAAAGUCAUGGUUAAGUGGGAAACGAUGUGGGAAGGCACAGACAGCCAGGAUGUUGGCUUAGAAGCAGCCAUCAUUUAAAGAAAGCGUAAUAGCUCACUGGUCGAGUCGGCCUGCGCGGAAGAUGUAACGGGGCUAAACCAUGCACCGAAGCUGCGGCAGCGACACUAUGUGUUGUUGGGUAGGGGAGCGUUCUGUAAGCCUGCGAAGGUGACCUGUGAGGGUUGCUGGAGGUAUCAGAAGUGCGAAUGCUGACAUAAGUAACGAUAAAGCGGGUGAAAAGCCCGCUCGCCGGAAGACCAAGGGUUCCUGUCCAACGUUAAUCGGGGCAGGGUGAGUCGACCCCUAAGGCGAGGCCGAAAGGCGUAGUCGAUGGGAAACAGGUUAAUAUUCCUGUACUUGGUGUUACUGCGAAGGGGGGACGGAGAAGGCUAUGUUAGCCGGGCGACGGUUGUCCCGGUUUAAGCAUGUAGGCUGGUUAUCCAGGCAAAUCCGGAUAAUCAAGGCUGAGGUGUGAUGACGAGGCACUACGGUGCUGAAGUAACAAAUGCCCUGCUUCCAGGAAAAGCCUCUAAGCAUCAGGUAACAUCAAAUCGUACCCCAAACCGACACAGGUGGUCAGGUAGAGAAUACCAAGGCGCUUGAGAGAACUCGGGUGAAGGAACUAGGCAAAAUGGUGCCGUAACUUCGGGAGAAGGCACGCUGGUGUGUAGGUGAAGUCCCUGCGGAUGGAGCUGAGACCAGUCGAAGAUACCAGCUGGCUGCAACUGUUUAUUAAAAACACAGCACUGUGCAAACACGAAAGUGGACGUAUACGGUGUGACGCCUGCCCGGUGCCGGAAGGUUAAUUGAUGGGGUUAUCCGUAAGGAGAAGCUCUUGAUCGAAGCCCCGGUAAACGGCGGCCGUAACUAUAACGGUCCUAAGGUAGCGAAAUUCCUUGUCGGGUAAGUUCCGACCUGCACGAAUGGCGUAAUGAUGGCCAGGCUGUCUCCACCCGAGACUCAGUGAAAUUGAACUCGCUGUGAAGAUGCAGUGUACCCGCGGCAAGACGGAAAGACCCCGUGAACCUUUACUAUAGCUUGACACUGAACAUUGAGCCUUGAUGUGUAGGAUAGGUGGGAGGCUUUGAAGCGUGGACGCCAGUCUGCGUGGAGCCAACCUUGAAAUACCACCCUUUAAUGUUUGAUGUUCUAACGUUGGCCCCUGACCGGGGUUGCGGACAGUGUCUGGUGGGUAGUUUGACUGGGGCGGUCUCCUCCCAAAGCGUAACGGAGGAGCACGAAGGUUAGCUAAUCCUGGUCGGACAUCAGGAGGUUAGUGCAAUGGCAUAAGCUAGCUUGACUGCGAGCGUGACGGCGCGAGCAGGUGCGAAAGCAGGUCAUAGUGAUCCGGUGGUUCUGAAUGGAAGGGCCAUCGCUCAACGGAUAAAAGGUACUCCGGGGAUAACAGGCUGAUACCGCCCAAGAGUUCAUAUCGACGGCGGUGUUUGGCACCUCGAUGUCGGCUCAUCACAUCCUGGGGCUGAAGUAGGUCCCAAGGGUAUGGCUGUUCGCCAUUUAAAGUGGUACGCGAGCUGGGUUUAGAACGUCGUGAGACAGUUCGGUCCCUAUCUGCCGUGGGCGCUGGAGAAUUGAGGGGGGCUGCUCCUAGUACGAGAGGACCGGAGUGGACGCAUCACUGGUGUUCGGGUUGUCAUGCCAAUGGCACUGCCCGGUAGCUAAAUGCGGAAGAGAUAAGUGCUGAAAGCAUCUAAGCACGAAACUUGCCCCGAGAUGAGUUCUCCCUGAGACUUUAAGUCUCCUGAAGGAACGUUAAAGACGAUGACGUUGAUAGGCCGGGUGUGUAAGCGCAGCGAUGCGUUGAGCUAACCGGUACUAAUGAACCGUGAGGCUUAACCU
rnacentral:rRNA from 1 species